GACUGGCAGUCAGCGUCGCGACGCCCACGAGCAAGCAGCUUGCGGCAAUUCGACGUCAGGUUAAGCAACACGUGGUUUUGCUCGAGUAGAACGUGGCGGAUACGAGAGUAAUUUUUGGGUUUUUCGAUCGGUCCUUUUUUUAAUUCUGGUCAAAAUGCUAAACACGAAAAAGUCCUCGUAACGCGCGAACGAUUUCGGAAAAACCGCGUAUAUUAUACGUUAUUCUUCUACGAUGUGGAACAAAUUGUGUCACAGAAGUAGAAGACGAAAAUUGGUAAAAUUACGCGAAAGGAGAUCGGCUUGAGUGACUUUCGCGUGACGUGUUUGCAGACGAGGAGAUAAAUAGUCAAUGCGAUUUUACUUCUUGGCUAUUGCCAUCAUCGGUAACAGCAGCAGCAGCAGCGACGGGAAUUUCCCAUCAGUGAAAUUUACUGCGCUGCAUUUAAAUUCCCAUCCAACUACGUGCAUCUCACUCUGUGAAUACCUUUGCGUUUUGAACGAGAACAAAAGUAUCAAAACAUCUCUGAAUCGAACAAAUAGAUUGAUUUUCUACUGUGCAAAACUUGGCUCCAGAUUUACAGAACACCUACUUCCCUAUUAUUCUCCAGUGAAUCUAAUUUAAAGUUUCUCAACUGUGAGAUGUAUUCGUUUGCCAAUGCAGUUUGAAGAAAUCGAGAUGCAACCCGUUUGUGUGUUGUAGAAUACAGAGGUGAAAAGAGAAGGAAAAGAAAGCAAAAACUCGAGCCGAAGGUUGAGAUCGAUUUUAACCAUGUGUAAGUGAAAUGAAAAGCCGGUGAAUAAAAAAAAAAAGGGGAGAUUCGAAUCGGCGAGGCACGCGCGAUAAUGAUAAACAUUCAGUUUGCCGAGCGUAAACCUGUUGAAGAAGAAGUGAGCACGUCGAUGCGCUUCGAGAAGACAAGGGGUCGAGGCGGUUGACGAGGGUAGGCGGAAAGAGAAGGCUUCGAUAAGAAGAGGGCAAAGACGAUCGGAGAUAAAGAAAUAACAACGAUGUCGUGCGAGAAGGCGUCGCGACGCCUCAGAUCCUUAAUAGUUAAGGCGAGGAGACUCGGGGUGACGGCUGAGGAAGUCGCCGCUUUACCUACGGCCAGGAAACUCGCUGCGCCAAAGACGGCGAACUUCUGGUCCGUCGGCUUCGCUCUGAUCACGCUACUCGGUGCCGGCAUCCUCCUUAUCCUUAUCUGCGCCCCUUGCCUCGCGAAGAGGGCGGCGCGCGACGUUCGAGUGUUUCCUUAAUAAACGCCACCCUCGAACCCCGCGCCCUCAACCAGAAGGAGAACUUUGACAAGGUUAGACCGCGCAGAUUUGCCGCAGCUCGAAUUUACAAGGGAAGGUUUUGACAGCCUGAAGGCGUACAGUUCCAAAUCCGAGGAUUAUAAUGGAUUGAAAAUUAAUUAAGUGGACCCGUGACAUUUGAUUUAAGGAAUUAUUUACUCUUGUACUAUACUGACUAAGAAAAUUAUAAUGGGAUUAUAAAUUUAUGGGCUGUGCAAAGCCGGUAUGCAAGUUUAUAAUUUAAUUGAAAAAUGUUUAGUACUUUUCGCUUUUCUUCUGCUAUUGUUAUUAUUAUGAGUAUUAUCACCACUAUCGUUAUCAUGUAAAAAAAAAAGGAACUGUAAUAAAGACUGUAUGUACGUACGUAACAUAUGUAGAAAACGUAAAAUUUAA
rnacentral:lncRNA from 1 species